rnacentral:rRNA from 1 species
GACGAACGCUGGCGGCGUGCUUAACACAUGCAAGUCGAACGGUGAAGGGACCGGUUUUUGCUGGUUCUGGAUGAGUGGCGAACGGGUGAGUAACACGUGAGUAACCUGCCCCCUUCUUCUGGAUAACCGCAUGAAAGUGUGGCUAAUACGGGAUAUUCUGCGCCUGCUGCAUGGUGGGUGUGGGAAAGAUAUUGUUUCGGUGGGGGAUGGGCUCGCGGCCUAUCAGCUUGUUGGUGGGGUGAUGGCCUACCAAGGCGGUGACGGGUAGCCGGCCUGAGAGGGUAGACGGUCACACUGGGACUGAGACACGGCCCAGACUCCUACGGGAGGCAGCAGUGGGGAAUAGUGCACAAUGGGCGCAAGCCUGAUGCAGCGACGCCGCGUGAGGGAUGGAGGCCUUCGGGUUGUAAACCUCUUUCGCCAGUGAAGCAGGCCUGUCCCUUUUGUGGGUGGGUUGACGGUAGCUGGAUAAGAAGCGCCGGCUAACUACGUG